rnacentral:rRNA from 1 species
UACGAAGGGGGCUAGCGUUGUUCGGAAUCACUGGGCGUAAAGGGCGCGUAGGCGGCUUUAUAAGUCGGGGGUGAAAGCCUGUGGCUCAACCACAGAAUUGCCUUCGAUACUGUAGAGCUUGAGACCGGAAGAGGUAAGUGGAACUGCGAGUGUAGAGGUGAAAUUCGUAGAUAUUCGCAAGAACACCAGUGGCGAAGGCGGCUCACUGGCCCGGUACUGACGCUGAGGCGCGAAAGCUAGGGGAGCAAACGGGG